CGGUGAAAUAUCUCAAUCAUCUAUGCCUAAAGUUGUGCAGUAUUUCGGUGUAAUUUCGUGGCAGUUUCUAUCUACAGAUUAUGCGGUUGUGGGAUGUGAUGGCAUCUGAAAUACACAAUUGAAUUUAGAGUUAGUUUGUCACUUUCAUUCAUGUAGGGGUCCAGGCUCAGCAAUGAGAACAGAGCUGCUAAGUAAUUAUAAGUAAUUGCACCAAACUGCAUUCCAAUCGACAACCCUCAUUAUAAUCUCUCCAAACGCCUGUCACUCUUCUCUGACCAGAUUUCUCAAAUCCCUGGCCUCCCAGCUCAACCACGCAGGACCCAUGAAUGACGCGUGUCACUGUUCAACACAGGCUCUCUUGUAAACACAACACCCGCAACACAUGUAUCAAGUGGCCGAUCGUUUCGGUUUCACCGCGAUCAAAAUUUGCUUCGGGCUGGGUGAACCUCUCGCCGCUACCUCAAAGUAUCAUAUGCAAACUGUGUGCGUUUGUUAUGGAGCUCUGGCAGCGACUGAUGAGUGUCUCAUUAUCUCCACACCAGCCGUACACAGUAAGAAGAGCAUAAUCAAAGCCUGGGGAGGAGAGUCUUCGCAAGUGCCAAAGGAACAGGCUUAACCAUGACAGGCUCGACUUGCAGAGCUUUAUUUUGAGCAGAGCACGGAGACUGUUAACACAGGAGGGGGAAAAACGUCUGACAAGCUCUUGUCCUGUCUGAGGCUCUCCACCGCUGUACGUUAUAUAUGUGCAUUGCAUUUGCAAACGAUUCUUCCAUUUGUCAGGCUGUUGGCAAACCUGUCAUGCUCACCCGGUGAAAAGCAAAUUAUUUAUUUAUUUGAGUUCAAUAUAAUUAGAAGCAUUACCCCACUGCUUGGCAGUGACACCUUUUUAUGUUAUCAAGUGCACAAGUGCAAAGAGUUAAGAUACGCUUGUUGGAGGUGUGGAAGUUUUCACUUUUUUAAGCUUUAAUAUAAUUAAAUAGCAACAGGAUGGA
ensembl:lncRNA